rnacentral:rRNA from 1 species
UACGAAGGGGGCUAGCGUUGCUCGGAAUCACUGGGCGUAAAGGGUGCGUAGGCGGGUCUUUUAAGUCAGGGGUGAAAUCCUGGAGCUCAAACUCCAGGAACUGCCUUUGAUACUGAGGAUCUUGAGUUCGGGAGAGGUGAGUGGAACUGCGAGUGUAGAGGUGAAAUUCGUAGAUAUUCGCAAGAACACCAGUGGCGAAGGCGGACUCGACUGGCCCGAGUACCUGACGCUGA